rnacentral:rRNA from 1 species
GAGUUUGAUCAUGGCUCAGAACGAACGCUGGCGGCAGGCCUAAUACAUGCAAGUCGAACGCCCUCGCAAGAGGGAGUGGCGCACGGGUGCGUAACGCGUGGGAAUAUACCCUUAGAUGCGGAAUAACACAGGGAAACUUGUGCUAAUACCGCAUAAUGUCUUCGGACCAAAGAUUUAUCGUCUAAGGAUUAGCCCGCGUCUGAUUAGCUAGUUGGUGAGGUAACGGCUCACCAAGGCGACGAUCAGUAGCUGGUCUGAGAGGAUGAUCAGCCACACUGGGACUGAGACACGGCCCAGACUCCUACGGGAGGCAGCAGUAAGGAAUAUUGGACAAUGGAGGAAACUCUGAUCCAGCCAUGCCGCGUGAGUGAAGAAGGCCUU